rnacentral:lncRNA from 1 species
CACAUCGUCCAUGACCGCGGGCCGCGCAACAUCGUCCAGGGUUGAAUCGGCAACAUGACAGAUGACAUCCGAUUUGUUAUUAGUGCAGUUUACCUGUCAUAAAUUCAGAGAAACAUCAAUUAGAUCACAGGGCUGUGUUGUAAAUGAACAGGAACCGGUGCACUAAACAUCUGUAAAAUUAGGCCUGCUCAUGAGAGCUCAGCAAUAAUACAUAAAAUCUUCCCAGUACCAAUAUGUAACAACGACAUCAAUAUUAAUCAAAAAAAUAUUCAUAGCUAAGUGUUCCAAACUGAAAAUUGAGACAACCCAAUACUGCACAAGGAACCAGAGGAGGAGACAUGGAGCAUCUACCAGUGGUGGCCAACAAAUCUAACCAGGUCUCUUCGCGCACCUCUCCAGGGUCUCCGGCAGCGACAAGCUCGAACUGCCCCCACUUUCGUCUUCGUCGCCCCCGCCUGCUCUGGAGUCUCACAGUCCAGCUCGUAGUUGGUGACGAGAUCGAAGUGCGUCUUGUUGAGCUCGAGCACGAGCACAAGCCCCUCGCCCUAGUCAAGCUCAUACACGUCACGGGUGUUCUGGGACCCGCCAAGCAUACGAACGGCGGGGCGUACCCACUAACGCCAUACUCGUCAGAGAUGAGUCGGGCGAUGGGGGAAUCGACCCCACCAAGACGAGCGGGGUCGUUGAAGCAAGCGAGGGCGAGGGAAUCAAUUUCCUACUUUGUGUUGUUCUCCCUCCAGACUCCACUUGCUAACACCACCAAUGGAGUAGUGCUUUCAUCGUCUUUGACUCGUCGUGGUAUGUAGUCACGGAAGAUUCUUUUAUUGUUUUCUCAUAAGUAAUUUCUGCUCUUUUGCUCAUGGCAGCAGUCUUGAUUAGUUUUCACCCGCAGCAUUUCAUCAGACGUAAAUAUAAGGGUAUGCCCGAACAUUGCUUGUCAGAUUAUCCAUUCCUUUCCUCUCAUCCGAGAUGCAUCAAGAAAGUGAGCCAAAACUGGGAACUAAAGGUGCAUAUAGUGAAUUCGUAAUGCACAUAGAUAGACAUAUAAAAUGUGGCAAACUAACCAUGAGGAACUCUUUGCCUCUUAGAAAUGAAAUAACAACUUGGUUCAGGUAGAAAAUGAAAUACUCCCUCUGUCCUAAAAUAAGUGUCACGGAUUUAGUACAAUUUUAGUGCAAAGGUGUACUAAGUUAACGGCACUUAUUUUCGAACAAAGGUAGUAGUAAGUUACCUGAGAUAAUGUACGUAUGAUUUAAUGAUUAAAUGACCUGACAAAAGGGCUCCCUCUGUAUUAAUCAUUCUGCAGAAAAAACAAAAUUAUGAGUUCCUUGCUCUGAAGCACCUAACUGCAGUUUUGUAGUAAAUGUCUGAAAAGUAAAAUCAUGCUAAAAUACAUGAUAUAUGUCAGCAAAUACAAACUUUCUUUCAUUUAUAUGUUUAGUAGAACUAAAUCAACAUAUAUAAAUGGCAGGCAUUACAUCCAUCAGAGUCCAAGGCUCUUUUUGGUGUCUUCAAAUGCUGCACCCACUACUACCGGUUGGCUGGAACAAUUGCUGAUUUUUAAUGACUCCCUCCAUCUUAAUCUUUCAGUAUAACUACAAUUGAUUAAGAGCUCCUAGCUGUGAAGAACCUAACUGCAGUUUUUUUAAUAAAUGUCUGAAAAGUAAAAUCAUACUAAAAUGGAUGAUAUAUGUUGCAAAUAUGAAGUAUAAAAAGAAAGUUAAUAAUAUACCAUACAGUAAUAUGAGUAAACUCUGCAGAUCUGAACAUGCAGGCUUUAGCAUCAGGGAUUAUAGCUUUGGCAGUGAGUUUCUCCUUCCAGCACACAGACAUUGCCUUGUUUCUCUUUGUACAGACCUCAACAUGAGAAUCUUGUGAACUUAUUUCCAUUACCUUGGGAUGGUGAAAUCUUUAUGAUACAAAGUUGAUGCAUGUAUUAGUUAAC